GGCGGCGGCCCCCCGGCGCCCGCGGCUCCUGCCCUGCCCGGGCCCUCGCCAUGGCCGACGCCGCCUCCGGCGCCGGGGGCGCGUCCCUGGAGGGCGAGCGCGGCAAGCGGCCCCCUCCCGAGGGCGAGCCCGCAGCCCCGGCGGCCGGAGUUCUGGAUAAGCUUUUCGGGAAGCGGCUCCUGCAGGCGGGUCGUUAUCUGGUGUCUCACAAGGCGUGGAUGAAGACGGUGCCCACGGAGAACUGCGACGUGCUGAUGACCUUCCCAGACACCACCGAUGACCACACGCUGCUGUGGCUGCUGAACCACAUCCGCGUGGGCAUCCCCGAGCUCAUCGUGCAAGUCCGCCACCACCGCCACACGCGCGCCUACGCCUUCUUCGUCACCGCCACUUACGAGAGCCUGCUCCGAGGGGCCGACGAGCUGGGUCUGCGCAAGGCGGUGAAGGCCGAGUUCGGCGGCGGCACCCGCGGCUUCUCGUGCGAGGAGGACUUCAUCUACGAGAACGUGGAGAGUGAGCUGCGCUUCUUCACCUCCCAGGAGCGCCAGAGCAUCAUCCGGUUCUGGCUGCAGAACCUGCGCGCCAAGCAGGGCGAGGCGCUGCACAACGUGCGCUUCCUGGAGGACCAGCCAAUCAUCCCCGAGCUGGCAGCCCGCGGCAUCAUCCAGCAGGUGUUCCCGGUGCACGAGCAGCGCAUCCUGAACCGCCUCAUGAAGUCGUGGGUACAGGCCGUGUGUGAGAACCAGCCUCUCGAUGAGAUCUGCGACUACUUUGGGGUGAAGAUUGCCAUGUACUUUGCCUGGCUGGGCUUCUACACGUCGGCCAUGGUGUACCCGGCCGUGUUUGGCUCCGUCCUCUACACGUUCACGGAGGCCGAUCAGACAAGUCGGGACGUAUCCUGCGUGGUCUUUGCACUCUUCAACGUGGUCUGGUCCACGCUGUUCCUUGAGGAAUGGAAACGGAGGGGGGCGGAGCUGGCCUACAAAUGGGGGACGCUGGACUCACCGGGGGAGGCCGUGGAGGAGCCAAGGCCCCAGUUCAGGGGCGUCCGGCGCAUCAGCCCCAUCACGCGGGCCGAGGAGUUCUACUACCCGCCCUGGAAGCGGCUGCUGUUCCAGCUGCUCGUGAGCCUGCCGCUGUGCCUAGCGUCCCUCACCUGCGUCUUCCUGCUCAUGCUUGGCUGCUUCCAGCUGCAGGAGCUGGUGCUGAGUGUGAAAGGGCUGCCGCGGCUCACCCGCUUCCUGCCCAAGAUCGUGCUGGCCCUGUUGGUCAGUGCCAGCGCCGAGGGCUAUAAAAAGCUCGCCAUCUGGCUGAAUGACAUGGAGAAUUACCGGCUGGAGAGCGCCUACGAGAAGCACCUUAUCAUCAAAGUUGUCCUGUUCCAGUUUGUCAACUCGUACCUGAGCCUCUUCUACAUCGGCUUCUACCUCAAGGACAUGGAGCGUCUGAAGGAGAUGCUGGCCACCCUUCUGAUCACGCGCCAGUUCCUCCAGAACCUGCGGGAGGUGCUGCAGCCGCACCUGUACCGGCGGCUGGGCCGCGGCGAGCUGGGCCUGGGCGCUGUCUGGGAGCUGGGCCGCGACUUGCUGGGCCUGCUGACCCUGCGGCGCCCUGCGGCCCGCCGCCUGGAGCCCCAGGCCGACGAGGGGUCCGGCGGUGUCGGUGGGGGCGACCGCAAGUGCCUCAGCGGGGGCUGCGGGGCGCCCGAGGAGGAGGAGGAGGCGCUGGUGGAGCGGCGGCCGGCAGGGGAAGGCGGGGAGGCCGGGGACGGGCCGCGGGGGGACAAGGAGGAGGACGAGGAUGGAGAGGAGGACGAGGAGGAGGAAGAGGAGGACGAGGAGGAGGAAGAGGAGGGCGGCCUCCUGGACGGCGGGUUCCGGCUGAAGAAGGUCAGCUUCGCCGAGCGGGGGGCCGGCCUGAGCCCGGAGGCCCUCCUGGAGGAGGGGAGCCCCACGAUGGUGGAGAAGGGCCUGGAGCCCGGCGUGUUCACGCUGGCCGAGGACGAGGACGAGGCAGAGGGUGCUCCCGGCAGCCCCGAGCGGGAGCCCGCGGCCGUCCUGCUGCGCCGGGCGGGGGGCGAGGGCCGCGACCAGGGGCCCGACGGGGGCGCGGAGCCGGAGCCCGGCGACUCGGCCCCGAGGCAGCGGCGGCAGAACCGCGCGUCGUGGAUCGACCCGCCCGAGGAGCAGCACUCGCCCCAGCUGACCCAGGCCGAGCUGGAGAGCUGCAUGAAGAAGUACGAGGACACGUUCCAGGACUACCAGGAGAUGUUCGUGCAGUUCGGCUACGUCGUGCUCUUCUCGUCCGCCUUCCCCCUGGCCGCGCUGUGCGCCCUGGUCAACAACCUCAUCGAGAUCCGUAGCGACGCCUUCAAGCUGUGCACGGGGCUGCAGCGGCCCUUCGGGCAGCGCGUGGAGAGCAUCGGGCAGUGGCAGAAGGCGAUGGAAGUUAUGGGUGUCUUGGCUAUCGUGGUCAACUGCUAUCUGAUCGGCCAAUGCGGCCAGCUGCAGCGCCUCUUCCCCUGGCUGGGCCCGGAAGCGGCCAUCGUGUCCGUGGUGGUGCUCGAGCAUUUCGCCCUACUGCUCAAGUACCUCCUCCACGGGGCGAUCCCUGACAUCCCUGGCUGGGUGGCUGAGGAGAUGGCCAAGCUCGAGUACCAGCGUCGGGAGGCCUUCAAGAAGCACGAGCGCCAGGCCCAGCACCACUUCCAGCAGCAGCAGCGGCGGCGGCGGGAGGAGGAGGAGCGCCAGCGCCACGCGGACCACCACGCCCGGCGGGAGCGCGAGGCCUGCGGCCGGGAUGAAGCGCGGGCCGAGGGCCCCGGGCUGGACCCUGCGGCCCCCGAGAAGGCCGCGGCCAAGGCCAAGGGCGGCGGGGCGGGCGGUCCCGGUGUCGCCGAGCGGCCCAAGCGCCCAGGGUCGCUGCUGGCGCCCAACAACGUGCUCAAGCUGAAGCAGAUCAUCCCGCUGCAGGGCAAGUUCCUGUCCUCCGCGGCCGCCACCUCACCGGCCGCCAGCGCUGGCCCCGCGGCCCGGCCGCCCCCGGCCCAGUCGCCCCCGGGCGGCGACACGCGCCUGCCGGCCUUCCUCAGCUUCAAGUUCCUCAAGUCGCCCGAGACCCGGCGGGACCCCGAACGCAGCCACUCGCCGCCCAAGGCCUUCCACGCCGGCAAGCUCUUCCCCUUUGGCGGGGCCCGGGCCGAGGCCGGGACCAACGGGGCGGGCGGGCAGGCCCGGCAGGACGGGCCCCCCGGCGGCAGCGGCCGGGCCCUGCGGAGUGGGCCGCCAGACGAGGCCGCAGCUGAGGAGCCGGACGCUCCCCGGCCCGAAGGGGAAGGCGCAGGUCAUAAGCUUUAACUCGGGGCUGGGGACGCCGGCCCCGGCUUUGGUGCUGGGGGAGCGGUGGCCAGGGCUGGGGAGCCAGGGAGAGAGGCCGGGAGGAUGGGGCACGGCGAGAGCCCCCCUCAGUCUCCCUGGCUUGCACAGAGUCCAGGGCAGCAUGCCUCAACCCCCUCUCCCCCAGAGAGGGGUGCCAAAGCCCCCCGCCCCAGUGCCCUUCCAGGGGAGAACACCCCACCAUGCUCCAGUGCCUGGGGGAGGCGUCUAGCCCACCUUUCCCCCACUAGACCCCACACCCAGCUCACUCUGGGGGGACCAGACCCCCCAGGCCUCUAUGCAAAUCCCCGCCCUGCAGCCAGCGUUCCGAGGAGCCGCACCCUGGGGGGCUUGGCUGCACCCACAUUUGUGCUGCACGGAGGUGGAGGCCUCCUCCCUCUUCCCACCCCAGCCCAGCGGGGGUCCCGCAGCCCACUGAGCCGAGAGGUGGCAGCUGCAGCAGCAGGGACUUAGGGACAGCGCCGGCCCCUGUGGGCGCCCCUGGCCUCCACACCCGCCGCAGCCGGAGCCCGGCACCCCCGACACCGCCGCCUGCACCGCGGCACCCGCCCCCGACGCCGCCCGCCGGCUGCUGGCAGUGGGAUGGGCCGUGG